rnacentral:rRNA from 1 species
AUUGAACGCUGACGGAAUGCUUUACACAUGCAAGUCGAACGGCAGCACGGACUUCGGUCUGGUGGCGAGUGGCGAACGGGUGAGUAAUGUAUCGGAACGUGCCCAGUCGUGGGGGAUAACGUAGUGAAAAUUACGCUAAUACCGCAUACGAUCUACGGAUGAAAGCGGGGGAUCGCAAGACCUCGCGCGAUUGGAGCGGCCGAUAACAGAUUAGGUAGUUGGUGGGGUAAAGGCCCACCAAGCCAACGAUCUGUAGCUGGUCUGAGAGGACGACCAGCCACACUGGAACUGAGACACGGUCCAGACUCCGACGGGAGGCAGCAGUGGGGAAUUUUGGACAAUGGGCGAAAGCCUGAUCCAGCCAUUCCGCGUGCAGGAUGAAGGCCCUCGGGUUGUAAACUGCUUCUGUACAGAACGAAAAGGCUUCUACUAAUACUAGGAGCUCAUGACGGUACUGUAAGAAUAAGCACCGGCUAACUACGUGCCAGCCGCCGCCGUAA